GCAAAUUGAAGUCUCUAGCUACCUGUUCUGCUUUCCAUGUUGAGUUUUCUUGAUGUCUAUCUUGUGCGCAGUGGUUAGUAGAAUAGGAUGCUAUUAAUUAGGCAAGAUGUGCAAUUAAUAAGCAGUAAUCUCUGUUAAUAGGCAUCUCCCUGCUCCCUAGCAAGAAUCUUGCCUCGACACCCAGAAUCUUAUUAAAAGAUGCAACAAAUUGCUCCUUAUCAGUAUAUCUUUCUACUAUAAAAAAGGAUCAAACCAACCAUUCACUACUGAAAAAGAUUAGGAAACAGCAUCAAUGUUCUGCUGAGCCGAUUGUAGAAAGUCUACUGGAAGAAGAGGAACGGCACUAAGGAAAGGUGCAUAGAUCUGGAGACCAUGCAGACAGCAAAAGAUGGUAUGAGCAGCAUCAUCUAGUUGUGUACACGGUUAAACCAUGGAUGUGAGAAAAUACUUUGCUGACAGAGGAACCUAAUUCAUCUCCUUCCUUACUGGAAAGAACUGUGGACUCUGCUAAAAGAGCAAGUUCCUGAAGACGUUAUAGGUUGAAUGUGUAUUGCUUUACAUGCCCCAUGUGAAACGUGUUGUGCCCGUAAUGAUACUGUUACCUGGUCAGGCACAUGUCUUAUGUAGCAUCUUUAUUGCAAUACCUGCUUGGAAAAGUGCACUGAUGUUUGAGACCCAUUAAUUCUGUGGUCAUCCAAACAGCUUUAAUCAAAUGACAAUAUUCAGUAUUGAGUAUACCUGCCUGAGUGGAUUAAGAUUAACAGGAAGCAGUAACCAGAUUUUGUUCUGUAACAGUGUCUACAAAUGCUACCUGAUCGACUGAAUAUUUCCAGCUAAUCCUGCUUUUGUUCCAAAGGGGAGGUGGUUUAAAGAGAAAAUCUUGAGGAAAUUAAUGAGGUUUGAUGUCAAUCGUGGUGUUAUUCUAUCAUAAUGAGGGCAACUUGUAAUAUUGCAGCAAACACAAGAUCAGGCCAGCAUGACUCUUUAGGAGAGCUAAGUGACAAUGUCAAUAUAACAAUAUGCCACGUUAUAUUCUUGAAUAACUGAGUGUACUUUGGAAGU